rnacentral:rRNA from 1 species
GGUUAAGCUAAUAAGAGCACACGGAGGAUGCCUAGGCGCCAGGAGCCGACGAAGGACGUGGCGAACAACGAAACUGCCUCGGGGAGCUGUAAGCAAGCUUUGAUCCGGGGGUGUCCGAAUGGGGAAACCCGGCUGUGGUAAUUCGCAGUCACUCACAUCUGAAUACAUAGGGUGUGAAGAGGCAGACCAGGGGAACUGAAACAUCUAAGUACCCUGAGGAAGAGAAAACAAUAGUGAUUCCGUCAGUAGCGGCGAGCGAACGCGGAACAGCCUAAACCAAGGAGCUUGCUCCUUGGGGUUGUGGGACGUCUCACAUGGAGUUACAAAGGAAUAUGGUAGGCGAAGAGGUCUGGAAAGGCCCGCGAUAGAGGUAAAAGCCCUGUAGCCUAAACCCUGUUCCCUCCGAGACGGAUCCCGAGUAGUGCGGGGCACGUGAAACCCCGUAUGAAUCCGGCAGGACCAUCUGCUAAGGCUAAAUACUACCUGGCGACCGAUAGUGAAACAGUACCGUGAGGGAAAGGUGAAAAGCACCCCGGAAGGGGAGUGAAAUAGAACCUGAAACCGUGUGCUUACAAAAAGUCAGAGCCCAUUGUAGGGGUGAUGGCGUGCCUUUUGUAGAAUGAACCGGCGAGUUACGUUUAACAUGCAAGGUUAAGGUGAGAAGCCGGAGCCGCAGCGAAAGCGAGUCUGAAUAGGGCGAUUAAGUAUGUGGACGUAGACCCGAAACCGUGUGAUCUACCCCUGUCCAGGGUGAAGGUGCGGUAACACGCACUGGAGGCCCGAACCCACGUACGUUGAAAAGUGCGGGGAUGAGGUGGGGGUAGCGGAGAAAUUCCAAUCGAACUCGGAGAUAGCUGGUUCUCCCCGAAAUAGCUUUAGGGCUAGCCUCGGUGAAUGGAGUCGUGGAGGUAGAGCACUGAUUGGGUGCGGGGCCCGCAAGGGUUACCAAGCUCAGUCAAACUCCGAAUGCCAUGGACUUCUUGCCGGGAGUCAGACAGUGAGUGCUAAGAUCCAUUGUCAAAAGGGAAACAGCCCAGACCAUCAGCUAAGGUCCCCAAGUGUGUGUUAAGUGGGAAAGGAUGUGGAGUUGCACAGACAACCAGGAUGUUGGCUUAGAAGCAGCCACCAUUGAAAGAGUGCGUAAUAGCUCACUGGUCGAGUGACUCUGCGCCGAAAAUGUAACGGGGCUAAACACACCACCGAAGCUAUGGCUUGAUGCUUGCAUCAGGGGUAGGGGAGCGUUGUGUAAGGGUUGAAGGUUGACCGGAAGGACAGCUGGACAUUACACAAGUGAGAAUGCCGGUAUGAGUAACGAAAAGAUCAGUGAGAAUCUGAUCCGCCGAAAGCCCAAGGUUUCCUGAGGAAGGCUCGUCCGCUCAGGGUAAGUCGGGACCUAAGGCGAGGCCGACAGGCGUAGUCGAAGGACAACAGUUUGAAAUUACUGUACCACCGUAAUCCGCUAUGAGCGAUGGGGUGACGCAGGAGGGUAGUGACGCGGACUGAUGGAUGUCCGUCCAAGCAGUGAGGCUGGUGUGUAGGCAAAUCCGCACACCAUAAGGCUGGGCUGUGAUGGGGAGCGAAAAUUACAGUAGCGAAGGUCAUGAUCUCACACUGCCAAGAAAAGCCUCUAGCCAGGAGAAGGUGCCCGUACCGCAAACCGACACAGGUAGGCGAGAAGAGAAUUCUAAGGCGCGCGGAAGAACUCUCGUUAAGGAACUCGGCAAAAUGACCCCGUAACUUCGGGAGAAGGGGUGCCUCGGUAGGGUGAAUAGCCCGAGGGGGCCGCAGUGAAAAGGCCCAAGCGACUGUUUAGCAAAAACACAGGUCUGUGCGAAGCCGCAAGGCGAAGUAUACGGGCUGACGCCUGCCCGGUGCUGGAAGGUUAAGGGGAGCGGUUAGGAGGCAACUCCGAAGCUGUGAACCGAAGCCCCAGUAAACGGCGGCCGUAACUAUAACGGUCCUAAGGUAGCGAAAUUCCUUGUCAGGUAAAUUCUGACCCGCACGAAUGGCGUAACGACUUGGGCGCUGUCUCAACGAGAGAUUCGGUGAAAUUUUAAUACCUGUGAAGAUGCAGGUUACCCGCGACAAGACGGAAAGACCCCAUGGAGCUUUACUGCAGCUUGAUAUUGAAUUUGGGUACGAUCUGUACAGGAUAGGUGGGAGCCGUAGAAGCCGGAGCGCAAGCUUCGGUGGAGGCGCCGUUGGGAUACCACCCUGAUCGUAUCUAGGUUCUAACCUGGUACCCUGAGCGGGUACGGGGACCGUGUCAGGCGGGCAGUUUGACUGGGGCGGUCGCCUCCUAAAGAGUAACGGAGGCGUUCAAAGGUUCCCUCAGAAUGGUUGGAAAUCAUUCGAAGAGUGCAAAGGCAGAAGGGAGCUUGACUGCGAGACCUACAAGUCGAGCAGGGACGAAAGUCGGACUUAGUGAUCCGGUGGUACCGCAUGGAAGGGCCAUCGCUCAACGGAUAAAAGCUACCCUGGGGAUAACAGGCUUAUCUCCCCCAAGAGUCCACAUCGACGGGGAGGUUUGGCACCUCGAUGUCGGCUCAUCGCAUCCUGGGGCUGAAGUAGGUCCCAAGGGUUGGGCUGUUCGCCCAUUAAAGCGGUACGCGAGCUGGGUUCAGAACGUCGUGAGACAGUUCGGUCCCUAUCUGUCGUGGGCGUAGGAAAUUUGAGAGGAGCUGUCCUUAGUACGAGAGGACCGGGAUGGACGUACCGCUGGUGCACCAGUUGUUCCGCCAGGAGCAUGGCUGGGUAGCUACGUACGGACGGGAUAAGCGCUGAAAGCAUCUAAGCGUGAAGCCCCCCUCAAGAUGAGAUUUCCCAGUAUGUAAGACCCCUUGAAGACGACGAGGUAGAUAGGUUGGAGGUGGAAGCACGGCAACGUGUGGAGCUGACCAAUACUAAUCGGUCGAGGGCUUAUCCAA